AAACUUUUACUGAGUGAUUUAGGCAAGUAUUAUUUAUAUUGAGGCAACUUACUCCAUUGGCAAUUGCAACUUGUGUGCAAAUCACAACAAUUUGCUGCUUAAAUAAUGCUACUGAUAUAAAGUGUACAAAUUUAUUUACAGAUUGCCUAACUUCACUGCACAGGUAAAGAAUUCAUAAUUCAAUGGGCCAUCACGUAGAUUUUCGGGCAACUACAGUUUACCUAGUAAAUGAUGGGCAAGUUUUGGUCAAUAAUAACACAGUAUGCAACAAAUGAUAUCCUGGUAUCCUUGAGUCAUCACUUGUUCCUUGCGAGUUGACCUAUCGGAGGAAACAACACGUAUGAGUAUGGAUUAUAUUUCACAUAAGUUGAGAGGCCUUACAGAAGUAGCUUCGAGCACAACCGUAUUGUCUUAACCUCAAAGUUUUACAGCAAAAGACUAUCUAUUUCUGAACCGAUUGAGAAACUGUUGAUUCCAAGUCAACAAUCUUGAAGAAAUUGUUAAAAUUUCUUGGAACUAAGAAAAUAAAAAAUCUGUUUGGAUAAGAUAAAUUUCGUAUGCAACACAUACAGUGAAGAUACUACAUCAGAAGCUACAUGUUGAACCAUGAUGCUACUGAUUAACUAGGAUCUUGUUGCAUAAUUAAUCACAUAGCUAUUAAGCAGUUAAAACACACCUGAAAGGGAAAAUUUGGUGUUCCAAAAGCAGAACGCAGCUCCGCCAGUGGUGAGCACCUUGUGGACUUCGAGCUAUGGAGAAUUGCACAUUCAUGCAAAGGAUUGAGUCAGAAGCAGUAGUAAUGGGCGAAAUCCAAAAUGGCACGUACAUGAUCUAGCUUACCUGAGAAAACGACUUUGCGCAGUGUUGGCUUUCAAAAUAAAUAACAUGAAGAGUAAAUGUUGUGUUGUUAUGAAUGCAUCUUCCCUCCAUGCAUAUUAGAUUGCAUUUGUCUAGAACAAAAAAUAUAGGCAAGUGACAUUUGUGUGUUUUGGGGCAAAUUAAGUGUAAUCAUCAGGCAAAAAGUUUGUGUUUUUUCGCAGGCUACUUUGAUUUGUAAUAAAAAAACACAACAAGUUGUUGGUGCCAUUUUUUUGGGGCAAAUUCAGUGCAAUCAGCAAGAAAGCAAAAAAAAUCUCCUGCUUUUUGGGACAAGAACUGUUAAGCAAAGUUUAGCAAGUCUUUAGGCAAAUUGUUUUUGUGAUGUAGGCAAACCACAUAAAUCUUUUUGCAGGCACCAGGCUAAUCCCUGGGUGAUCACAAUGAAGUUUUUUUUUCGUCCGAAUUGUACCUGAGAAGUAAGUGAUAAAGCUUUUUUGCCUGGGCAUGAUUUUGUUUUCUCAGUGUGUAGAUUGCAUGAAGUCCUGGUUGGGGGAAAUAGGAAAAAAAUUCAGAAGUAAGUCCUGUUGCGUGUUGUAGGCAAAAUACAUACUACUUCCAGGAAAGUUUAGUAGAUUACCUGGGAACACAUGAUGAAUCCUAUCCCAGUAGUUAGCUAUGAUUGAGUAUGUUGAGAAAUGAGAAAUUUCAGCGCUCCCUUGUAACUGCAACCCAACGGCCCCUGCAAUGAAAUUGUCCGGUGAAUUGCGAUGUGCAAAGGAUGUAAACUAUCUGAACAUUGAUUAAAGGAUGUAGAGGUUGAUCUAUCGUUCGGUGCUUCUGAAAAAGAUGUCAAAGGAGUGCAAAUGAUGCGAAGACUGUAGAAUGUGGACGCAUGUGCACCUGUUCUUAAAAGCUGUGUUGUUGCUCUCGUGUACUUGCUUUGAAGUUUGGUGUGCACCGUGUUUCAGUUUCAGUGUCAGCAAAAACACAAGAACAGCAAAGCACACAUCAACCUACGCCCAGCUCACAAAUCAAGUUGGUGCGAGCCGUCGAGCGAGCGAGGAACACAGCCCAUGAUGCGGCACUCGGGUAAGCCGUCGCAGGCGCAGCUGAUUGACGCGGUCUGCGCGAACGACCCGAACCAGUCCAGCUUCCCGCACGGGUCCUUCAGGGUUACCUUCGCGCCAUACCCGA
rnacentral:lncRNA from 1 species